rnacentral:rRNA from 1 species
AUGCUUACCAUGGAUUUUGUGGAGGGUGUUCCAAAAUCUGGCCGAAUCAAUUGCUUUUUAGUGGUGGUUGAUAAACUGUCGAAGUAUGCUCAUUUUAUCGGAUCGACGCAUCCCUUCACAGUUGCUACUGUCACCACUGCUUUCAUGGGCAAUAUUCACAAGCUACACGGUAUACCCGAGUCUAUUGUCACAGAUCGUGACCGUAUCUUCACCAGUUGUUUCUGGCGAGAAAUUGCUGCUCUUACUGCUAUGAGGCUUCACAUGAGUUCAUUGCACCAUCCUCAGACUAAUGGACAGUCUGAGUGA